UAGGGAAUCUUCCACAAUGGGCGAAAGCCUGAUGGAGCAACGCCGCGUGUGUGAUGAAGGGUUUCGGCUCGUAAAACACUGUUGUAAGAGAAGAAUGACAUUGAGAGUAACUGUUCAAUGUGUGACGGUAUCUUACCAGAAAGGAACGGCUAAAUACGNGCCGG
rnacentral:rRNA from 1 species